rnacentral:misc_RNA from 1 species
UAAUCAAGUGUUUUUAUGGCACUUUCAAAAAAUCCAUAUCCACCUUGUGUGCAAUGUCAUCUCUCUGGGGGCUGCCGGCUGUCAAAGCCGUGUGGUCACCUUUGGGAUUUAUAUCUACUCAGAACUUUAGUGAUUUUGUUCUGAAACAUAUUAUGAAUACUUAAUUCAAAAUA